rnacentral:rRNA from 1 species
AUGCGCAAUGGGGGAAAGCCUGACGCAGCCACGNCGCGUGCCGGAAGACGGCCNUAUGGGUUGUAAACGGCUUUUGCCAGGGAAGAAAGCCCGGGUUUCGAGNUGGAGUGACGGUACCUGGUGAAUAAGCACCGGCUAACUCCGUGCCAGCAGCCGCGGUAAUACGGAGGGUGCNAGUUGUNUCCGGAAUCAUUGGGUGUAAAGGGUGNGUAGGCGGGCUGCUAAGUCUGGGGUGAAAUCUUGCCGCUUAACGGUAAAAUGGCCUUGGAUACUGGCUGUCUUGAGUACAGAAGAGGCAGGUGGAAUUCGUAGUGUAGCGGUGAAAUGCAUAGAUAUUAAGAAGAACCUCAGUGGAGAAGGCGGCCUGCUGGUCUGUAACUGACGGUGAGGCAAGAAAGUGNGGGGAGCGAACAGGAUUAGAUCCCNUGGUAGUCCACGCCGUAAACGAUGCAUACUAGGUGUUGGCCUGUGAGGGUCAGUACNGCAGNUAACGCAUU